CCCAGUAGAUGAGGCCCAGGGUUAGAGGUCAGGGGUCAGGGAGAGGUCAGUACACCUCAUAAAGGUCUCCCAGUAGAUGAGGCCCAGGGUUAGAGGUCAGGGGUCAGGGAGAGGUC